UCCUCCAGAUAAAUCUGAGGCAAAAUCUACUGCAUUAGCUCUAAUAGAGUCCUUUGCAAGCUUGACCUAACCUGGUCAGGAUCUGUUCUGAUUGAAUUGUAAAGCCUGUUAUGUCUCUUGCUGUACAUUUCUCUUGCUGCUAAAGUCUUCAUGUUUAGUCGGAUAUACUAAUUCUUCCAAGAUCCUGGCCGUCUCAGCCCUACCAUCGGUCUACCCUUUGAGGUGUUUGGGAUUUAACAAAAAUGAACUACUUCUCUUGCCCAUGGAUUACCGGCAUGACAACAAGGCUCAUUAUUUUCAGAAGCUUGUGACUAUGUGGGAGAAUUUAUAUGUACUUCUGUGUGAUGAAGAAUUGGAUGCAGUCUCUUUGGAAGCUGUGCACCAACAAAAGAUGAAGAAUAGACAAGCCCACUCUUCAUCAGAGAGAGAACUAAAAUAAUGAAGACCAGAACUAGACAAGUUAUCAAGACGUACUAAUUCCUUAGUUGAUAAAGAACCUGCAUGAGACAGUGAUACAUCAGAGAGAGAAAAACUUUAAGCACUGAGAGGGGACAAACUGAUGGAUUCCAUGGUAAAGUUUCCUGACACAAUUCACCUCCAGAAACGUUAAUGUUACUUAGUAGAAAAAAAUAAAAAUCUCCAUGUUUAAAAAUAAAGAUUCAACUUAAACGACCCUAUUAAUCAUGAAGAAAAUUGUCUUUAAAAUGGAAGUGUAUUAACC